ACAUACCCUUUCCUGCGGAAUAGCUCCGGGAAACUGGAAUUAAUACCGCAUACGCCCUACGGGGGAAAGAUUUAUCGGGGAAGGAUUGGCCCGCGUUGGAUUAGCUAGUUGGUGGGGUAAAGGCCUACCAAGGCGACGAUCCAUAGCUGGUCUGAGAGGAUGAUCAGCCACAUUGGGACUGAGACACGGCCCAAACUCCUACGGGAGGCAGCAGUGGGGAAUAUUGGACAAUGGGCGCAAGCCUGAUCCAGCCAUGCCGCGUGAGUGAUGAAGGCCUUAGGGUUGUAAAGCUCUUUCACCGAUGAAGAUAAUGACGGUAGUCGGAGAAGAAGCCCCGGCUAACUUCGUGCCAGCAGCCGCGGUAAUACGAAGGGGGCUAGCGUUGUUCGGAAUUACUGGGCGUAAAGCGCACGUAGCGGAUAUUUAAGUC
rnacentral:rRNA from 1 species